rnacentral:lncRNA from 1 species
AGGGCUUAAGGGUUUGAGUGCUCUACUGGAGAUGCUCUAACAGGCGUACAGUCGCCACCGCCGGCAGUAAUCUGACGCGCGGACGGGCGCGCGGCGCGUUGGCGGGCGGACGGUCACGUGCAGCCUCGGCCCGGCGGCGUGGCGGGCUAGCGCAGCCGUGGACGGACAAAUGAGGGAUCAGAACGGACGUUUAAGGGUCGAAAUUACAAGUCCUGGUUGUAGAUGCUCUCAGAACGGACGUUUAAGGGUUGAAAUUACAAGUCCUGGUUGUAGAUGCUCUAACCUGUAUGGAAAUAUACGGACAAAUGAGGGAUCAGAACGGACGCGACUGGAAAUAUACACACUAGCGCCCAAAGAUAGGCUACCCACAGUACAACUAGACAAGUUCUAAAUCAGUGGAGCAAUCUGUCACGAGUCUCGGAAAACAGAAGGAAAGAGACCAGAGAUGAAGCAAGGGCAACGCCACAACAAAAGGAAGAAAGAGGAUGCAUGGCUCAGUAAUUAAGCACCUCCCAAAAUCAUCACGGUUCAUGCUUGUUAUCCUCGAAAUCAGUCUCUAGACUUCACCAUCAUCAGAUUCUCAGCAGCGUCUUUCCUUCUUCGUCAGUUCCUCGCUCCCGGCACACAUCUUUUUAUCUUCCAGGGCUCUCUUCUUGAUAUACUCAUGGUAAGUAACGUCGACCUCCUCCGUGUUGUCAAUGUCGUACUUGUCAUUCACAACAACAAUGACAUUUAUCCUGUCCAGGUCGACCCCAUUAGCUGCCCGGACAUUACCCAGCUUGUCCAUCCCUUCAUCCCCCUCCAAGGGGAGUGUAUCGUGAGCAAUGUUUUAAAUUUUGAUUUGAUUUCUUGUGACAACAUGCAAUGAUAUUGUGUACAUGUACUAUUUUUUUUGGAAUUUUUUCAAACAUCUUAAAUGUGUA